UCCUCAGCCGCCCUCCAACAGAUCUCUGAGCCCCUGGCCUCUCCUUGCGGGUUGGGGGGAGGGAGAUGCGAGUGAGGCUGGGCAGAGCUUGCCUAACCACUCCUGGCCAAGUUCCAACUCCAUUGGGAUAAGGGGAAAGGCUCCCACAGCUAGCAUAUUUGCUAUAUUGUUAUUUUUAAGCGUUUCGCAUGUACCAGGCACAGCGCUAAGUUCUUUUAUCAUGCACCAUCUCUUCACACCAGAUCUACGAGACAGGUACUCUGUCUCCCAGAGCUUGCCCAAGACCACACAGCCUGAACCAGGAUUUGCUCUGCUGGCCGCUUCUCAAUUCCUCUGACUGCGGCCUCCAAGGAGGGCGUGUUGCCCAGGGAACUGAGAUGAAGAAACAACUCCAGCGUUGCCCGAGGUCCCACGGCGAUCAGUCACGUGCUGUUCGGAGUGCUCAAGCAAGACAUGUGCUAUUCCUGGUAGGAGUGAACCCAGCCAUCUUGUCAGAUCCCCAAACACCCUUUUAGGAUCAAAUCAUUCCUGCCUCAGGUGCUUCACACAGCUCUUCCUUUGGCGGAAGCCACCUCAAGUCUCUGCUGAGCUGGAUCUUCCUGGUUUGGGCCUUCACAUGCUGGGCCUCCUCUGAGAUGCAACCCUGUCAACACUCGGACUCGGGGACGGAAGCUUCCCUGCCCUCUUGCAGUAAGGCAUCACCCUGUUUCUUUGCAUAUCAGCAACUUUUCACCCUCCAAAAUGAUCUUGUCCAUAUAGGUGCUUAUUAGCCUGUCGCCUCUUAGCUAAGUUGUGCCCUCCUGAGAGCAGGGAACUAGCCCGCCUGGCUCACUGCUGUGAUAUCAGCGCCUGGCAUCUAGCAGACAUGCCAUAAACAUUUGUUCAGUGAAUGAACGGAUUUAUCCCAUCACAGUCCGAUGAGCCUGCUACUAUCACUCUCCCCAUUUUAGAGAUGAGG